rnacentral:lncRNA from 1 species
UCAAAUAUCGUAACAAACGAGCAAGCAAUGCAUCUUGUAGUUACCUCGUACCCUUUGUUCUCACAAACUAAAGACUAUCGGACACUUACAUCUCCACCACACCAAACCAAAUCAGAGAAUGGAUAGGCAAGGGCGCCAAACCUCCAAACGCCCACUUAUGGAAGGUCAGGUUGGUGUUGAAGAACUUGGGGUGCACACAGACCGACGCGGUUGUGCCGCGGUGUCUUCAACAGUCGGAGUUGUGCACCACGCUACCCUUGCACCCCCAGAGCACCGCCACCCGC